UGGGGAAUAUUGCACAAUGGGGGAAACCCUGAUGCAGCGACGCCGCGUGAGCGAAGAAGGCUUUCGAGUCGUAAAGCUCUGUCCUAUGAGAAGAUAAUGACGGUAUCAUAGGAGGAAGCCCUGGCUAAAUACGUGCCAGCAGCCGCGGUAAUACGUAUGGGGCGAGCGUUGUCCGGAAUUAUUGGGCGUAAAGGGUACGUAGGCGGUUUUUUAAGUCAGGUGUCAAAGCGUGGAGCUUAACUCCAUUAAGCACUUGAAACUGAAAGACUUGAGUGAAGGAGAGGAAAGUGGAAUUCCUAGGGUAGCGGUGAAAUGCGUAGAUAUUAGGAGGAAUACCGGUGGCGAAGGCGACUUUCUGGACUUUUACUGACGCUCAGGUACGAAAGCGUGGGGAGCAAACAGG
rnacentral:rRNA from 1 species